rnacentral:lncRNA from 1 species
UUAUCAAUAUUUGCUUCAAAAGGGAGGGGAAGAACCUGGAAUUAUAAACGGAGCUGUAUUUUUUAAUGAAAGAAAAACAAAAUCAUAUGAUACUCUCUUUUCCACUUCUCUCAAUUACGCAAAAACCGCAUAUAAAAUGGAACCGUAUUUGUCAUUCAAAUGAUAAACACGUACAUACAUAUAUGAUCCCGGCAAACGCACAAGAGAAAUGAUGAUAUAAAUAACAAACGAACAAAAAAACCAAAAAGAAAAAGACAGACAGGAGAAAUAUGCAUUAGAAAUGGUAAAUAACCCUUACUUUUUUAAAGUACUUCACUCAUUCGGCCGACUAAUCGGUAUAAACUGAAAAGAGCUAAGGAAAGCCUAUUUCCAAUAAAAUUUGACGAUGACGCUUGGACAAUCACAGAUCUCUCUCGAAAUCUUAUGAUACGCAGCUACAAAAAUUCGUCGGAUCUGAUCGGAUGAACCACACUCUUGUGACUGGCCCGGUCCAAAGCUGGUUCAGGAUCCAAAUCCGAUACGGAGCUGUACGUAGAAUCAACUGCAGAAUUACUACUCUCUCUAAAUUUCUAAUAAAUGAGGGAAUCUGAAACCCUAGCGGGCGAGAGAGAGAGAGAGAGAGUUUUCUUUAUAUAGUGGGCGGUGUGUAAAGAAGAGAAAAUGCCAAGCCAAAACGAAAGAGAGAGAGAGAGGUAACUUUUCCCAGCUUGACACCGAGGAGAAGCGGCAACGUGGCACCCGCACUCUUCAUGCAUUCACUAUGGGGUGUGAUCAUAUGCGAUCCGGAU